rnacentral:rRNA from 1 species
AUACGUAGGGGGCGAGCGUUGUCCGGAAUGAUUGGGCGUAAAGGGCGCGUAGGCGGCCCGGUAAGUCUGGAGUGAAAGUCCUGUUUUUAAGAUGGGAAUUGCUUUGGAUACUGUCGGGCUUGAGUGCAGGAGAGGUAAGUGGAAUUCCCAGUGUAGCGGUGAAAUGCGUAGAGAUUGGGAGGAACACCAGUGGCGAAGGCGACUUACUGGACUGUAACUGACGCUGAGGCGCGAAAGUGAGGGGAGCAAACAGGAUUAGAUACCCUGGUAGUCCACACUGUAAACGAUGAAUGCUAGGUGUAGGGGGUAUCGACCCCUUCUGUGCCGCAGUCAACACAAUAAGCAUUCCGCCUGGGGAGUACGGCCGCAAGGUUGAAACUCAAAGGAAUUGACGGGG